rnacentral:rRNA from 1 species
UACAGAGGGUGCAAGCGUUGUUCGGAAUUAUUGGGCGUAAAGCGCGUGUAGGCGGCUUUGCAAGUCGGGUGUGAAAGCCCUCAGCUCAACUGAGGAAGUGCGCCCGAAACUGCAGAGCUUGAGUGACCGGAGAGGGUGGCGGAAUUCCCCAAGUAGAGGUGAAAUUCGUAGAUAUGGGGAGGAACACCGGUGGGCGAAGGCGGCCGAC